AUUGAACGCUGGCGGCAUGCCUUACACAUGCAAGUCGAACGGCAGCGGGGGAGAAGCUUGCUUUUCCUGCCGGCGAGUGGCGAACGGGUGAGUAAUACAUCGGAACGUGCCCUGUAGUGGGGGAUAACUAGUCGAAAGAUUAGCUAAUACCGCAUACGACCUGAGGGUGAAAGUGGGGGACCGCAAGGCCUCAUGCUAUAGGAGCGGCCGAUGUCUGAUUAGCUAGUUGGUGGGGUAAAGGCCUACCAAGGCGACGAUCAGUAGCUGGUCUGAGAGGACGAUCAGCCACACUGGGACUGCGACACGGCCCAGACUCCUACGGGAGUGAGCAGUGGGGAAUUUUGGACAAUGGGCGAAAGCCUGAUCCAGCAAUGCCGCGUGUGUGAAGAAGGCCUUCGGGUUGUAAAGCACUUUUGUCCGGAAAGAAAUGGCUCUGGUUAAUACCUGGGGUCGAUGACGGUACCGGAAGAAUAAGGACCGGCUAACUACGUGCCAGCAGCCGCGGUAA
rnacentral:rRNA from 1 species